rnacentral:rRNA from 1 species
GACGUAGGGCGCGAGCGUUGUCCGGAUUUAUUGGGCGUAAAGAGCUCGUAGGCGGCUUGUUGCGUCAGCUGUGAAAACCCGCAGCUCAACUGUGGGCUUGCAGCUGAUACGGGCAGGCUUGAGUUCGGUAGGGGAGACUGGAAUUCCUGGUGUAGCGGUGAAAUGCGCAGAUAUCUGGAGGAACACCGGUGGCGAAGGCGGCAUCCUGGACCAACACUGACACUGAUGAGCGAAAGCCAGGGGAGCAAACGGG